rnacentral:rRNA from 1 species
UACGAAGGGGGCUAGCGUUGCUCGGAAUUACUGGGCGUAAAGCGCACGUAGGCGGAUCGUUAAGUCGGGGGUGAAAUCCUGGAGCUCAACUCCAGAACUGCCUUCGAUACUGGCGAUCUUGAGUCCGGGAGGGGUGAGUGGAACUGCGAGUGUAGAGGUGAAAUUCGUAGAUAUUCGCAAGAACACCAGUGGCGAAGGCGGCUCACUGGCCCGGUACUGACGCUGAGGUGCGAAAGCGUGGGGAGCAAACAGG